rnacentral:tRNA from 1 species
AGGGAUAUAGCUCAGUGGCGGAGUGCAUGCUUGGCAUGCACAAGGUCCUGGGUUCAUUCUCCAGUACCUCCA